UAGCGAUAGCUGGUUUCUCAGGAAAAGAAUCUUAGUUCUACCUAAAGUAAUCUUAAUUCUUAUUAAUAACCCCUCUCACUUUAGAGUAAUUCAAAUAAGGUACAGCCUAUUUGACUCAGGACUCAACCUUUACAAACGGGUAAUAACUAAUUCACACCUCUAAGUGGGCCUAAGAGCAGCCAUCUUAUUUAAAAGCGUUAAAGCUUAGCCGUGUUAAUCUUAAUCCUUAAUCUACUAUCGACCCCUUACCUACUACUGAGAACUUCUAUAAAGUAUAGAACCUUUAAUGCUAAAACUAGUAACAAGAGGAAAACCCCUCUCUACCAUGCAAGCGUAAGCCGGAAAGAACCCCUCACCGGCACUUAACGGGCACAAAUAGUAACUCUCUCAAGAAAACCCUAUUUUACCCUCCGUUAACCUAACACAAGAGCAUCCAAAGAAAGAUUAAAAGAAAAAGAAGGAACUCGGCAAACCUUAACCCCGCCUGUUUACCAAAAACAUCACCUCUUGUCACCCAUAAGAGGCCCAACCUGCCCGGUGACUCCUGUUUAACGGCCGCGGUACCCUAACCGUGCGAAGGUAGCGUAAUCACUUGUCCUCUAAAUAGGGACUAGUAUGAAAGGCUUCACGAGGGUUAAACUGUCUCCUUUUUCUAAUCAGUAAACCUAAUCUCCCCGUGAAGAAGCGGGGGUAUUUUUAUAAGACGAGAAGACCCCAUGGAGCUUUAAACACUCUUACACCUGUCACAUUUUAUACCCUAACCUCACCAUGUGGCACGAUGUUUAAAUGUUUUAGGUUGGGGUGACCGCGGGGAACAACAUAUCCCCCGCGAUGAAUAGGAAUUUCCCCUAAACCAUAAGCCACAACUUUAAGUAUCAAAAACCUGACAUCCUUUGACCCAAUCCUUUGAUCAACGAACCAAGUUACCCUGGGGAUAACAGCGCAAUCCACCUUGAGAGCCCUUAUCGACAGGUGGGCUUACGACCUCGAUGUUGGAUCGGGGUAUCCUAGUGGUGUAGCCGCUACUAAGGGUUCGUUUGUUCAACGAUUAAAACCCCACGUGAUCUGAGUUCAGACCGGAGUAAUCCAGGUCAGUUUCUAUCUAUAAUAGAGCUUUUUUCAGUACGAAAGGACCAAAACAGCAUGGCCUAUGUUUUAACAAGCCAUAGUUAAUUAUUUUAGACUAACUCUUAAAAAAUUAUUAACCUUCACCAACCUUGUCAGCGUAGCAUAUCCUGGCCUUGCAAAAGACCUAAGCCCUUUUAAUAGAGGUUCAAAUCCUCUCGCUA
rnacentral:rRNA from 1 species